rnacentral:lncRNA from 1 species
AUGGAGACCAGCCAAGUGAUGAAGUCUCUAACCAGUACUCAGGACUACUGGCAGGUGGACAGGAUCAACAGUGAACUGAAGAUGCAUACUCUGCAGGAGGAGUUGGAGAGGAUGACUCUGGAGAAGAACCGACUGCAGGAACACUGUGGGGAUUCUUCUGGAACUGACUGUGACCAGAAUCACGUGGAGUCCAACCCCAGGUAUGUCCUUCAUCUCAUCAGAAAUACUUCUUCAGGUUUGACACCGGGGGGGAGGAAAGAUCUCACUAAAUAAAUUGAAGCAGAAUUUAGCCCCAUUUGAAACACCUGUCAUAGUGUAGAUGCCAUACGUCAGCCACCAGGUGGAGACAAAGCAUUGUUUACCUCAGAGCCGGGAAAAUCUAUGUCUGUAGUUUACCUAGCAACAGGGUUCACGUUCAACAAGAAACUUGUCUGAGUACUGGGACAUGCCACUCAGAUAGAAGGAUCGUACUAGAAUAGACUAGGAUGCAUGCCACUCAGAUAGGAGGAUUGUACGACAAUAGACUAGGAUGCAUGCCACUCAGAUAGACUGAUCGUACUAGCUGGCUCUAUAUACACUCACUGGACUCACUGGCUCUAUAUACACUCACUGGCUCUAUAUACAAUCACUGGCUCAAUAUAUAUAUAUAUAUAUAUAUAUACACACACACACCAUACGCUCACACACACAUAUUGACGCCACACACAGACACUCUUCACGUUGCUGAUACUCUGUUUAUUAUCUAUCCUGAUUGCCAAGAUAUGUUCACCUACAUGUACAUAUUACCUCAACUACCUGGUACCCCUGACUCUGUACUGGUACUCCUUGUAUAUAGUCUCAUUACUACCUGCUACCCCUGACUCUGUACUGGUACUCCUUGUAUAU